GAUGAACGCUGGCGGCGUGCCUAAUACAUGCAAGUCGAGCGAACGGACGAGAAGCUUGCUUCUCUGAUGUUAGCGGCGGACGGGUGAGUAACACGUGGAUAACCUACCUAUAAGACUGGGAUAACUUCGGGAAACCGGAGCUAAUACCGGAUAAUAUUUUGAACCGCAUGGUUCGAAAGUGAAAGACGGUCUUGCUGUCACUUAUAGAUGGAUCCGCGCUGCAUUAGCUAGUUGGUAAGGUAACGGCUUACCAAGGCAACGAUGCAUAGCCGACCUGAGAGGGUGAUCGGCCACACUGGAACUGAGACACGGUCCAGACUCCUACGGGAGGCAGCAGUAGGGAAUCUUCCGCAAUGGGCGAAAGCCUGACGGAGCAACGCCGCGUGAGUGAUGAAGGUCUUCGGAUCGUAAAACUCUGUUAUUAGGGAAGAACAUAUGUGUAAGUAACUGUGCACAUCUUGACGGUACCUAAGCAGAAAGCCACGGCUAACUACGU
rnacentral:rRNA from 1 species